rnacentral:rRNA from 1 species
GACGAAGGAUGCAAGCGUUAUCCGGAUUCAUUGGGUUUAAAGGGAGCGUAGGCGGGCGUUUAAGUUAGGUGUUUAAUCCCGGGGCCCAACCCCGGACCGGCACCUAAAACUGGACGUCUUGAAUAGUGGAGAGGUCGGUGGAAUUGGAGGUGUAGCGGUGGAAUGCGUAGAGAUCUCCAAGAACACCCGUUGCGAAGGCGGCCGACUGGACACAUAUUGACGCUGAGGCUCGAAAGCAUGGGGAGCAAACAGG